rnacentral:rRNA from 1 species
GCCCUUCCUACGGGAGGCAGCAGUGGGGAAUAUUGCACAAUGGGCGAAAGCCUGAUGCAGCGACGCCGCGUGAGCGAAGAAGUAUUUCGGUAUGUAAAGCUCUAUCAGCAGGGAAGAAAAUGACGGUACCUGACUAAGAAGCCCCGGCUAACUACGUGCCAGCAGCCGCGGUAAUACGUAGGGGGCAAGCGUUAUCCGGAUUUACUGGGUGUAAAGGGAGCGUAGGCGGCAAGGCAAGUCUGAUGUGAAAACCCGGGGCUCAACCCCGGGACUGCAUUGGAAACUGCUUAGCUAGAGUGUCGGAGAGGUAAGUGGAAUUCCUAGUGUAGCGGUGAAAUGCGUAGAUAUUAGGAGGAACACCAGUGGCGAAGGCGACUUACUGGACGAUAACUGACGCUGAGGCUCGAAAGCGUGGGGAGCAAACAGGAUUAGAUACCCUGGUAGACCACGCCGUAAACGAUGAAUACUAGGUGUCGGGUGGCAAAGCCAUUCGGUGCCGCAGCUAACGCAAUAAGUAUUCCACCUGGGGAGUACGUUCGCAAGAAUGAAACUCAAAGGAAUUGACGGAAGGGC